rnacentral:lncRNA from 1 species
UAUCACAUACAUUCGUAUUCUUUUUUUUUUGUUCAAAAUACAUAAGUAUUCCAAAGUAAGGUAUUUGACAAAAUAUUUGACACUAAAACUUAUCUGUCCUGUAAGAUACAUACAUACUUUGAUUUGAUAUGGAUAUAGAUAUAUAUGUAUUAAUCUCCUAAAGAUACAUAUUUAACUAGCAAAAAAAAAAAAAACAUAUCUGUAUAAUCACACAGAGAUAUAGACAUCUUUUGGCAUGGUCAUGUAAUCCUUGUCCACAGAAACAAUCCUGCAAGCAAGAACCCUUGUAUAGUUACAUAUCCGACAACAUGGACUCGAAAAUCUAUAGAAAUGAGCAAUUUAUGGAACCAACCUUAGGCAAGUGCAGAAGAAGAUCAACAGAAGCAUCCGGCUUUGCCAUGCAGAGAUUAAAGCCAUUUGGCUUCUUAAAAAUUGAAAUCCACGCGAAACUGGGAGCUAGCUCUCAAGUAAACUAUGAAUUUACAAAGCUCGAAUUUUUCACAUUGACAAUAUGCCCACGACGGACACGGAAAUGAAGACAAGGAAAGAGAAAAAAUUGCAGAGAGAGAACCGUAAUCUAUCCGAAAACAUCAUAGCUUUGGCCGGAAUCGGUGUGUUGAGAGAUGAUCCUUUGAGUGUUCCUGCAAAAGGAAAAGAUGGAAAGCAGCAUAAGGAGAAAGCGAUGAUAAAGAUGAACUAAAGAAAAGAGAGGAAGAAAGGAAGUGUCGAAGAGAAGAAGGAAGAAGGUGAAGAGAAAAGUCAAAGUGAGUUAGUCAAAGGAAGGAGUAGUUAAAGUAACAAGUAGAGUUGUUAGAAGUCCUAGUCAAAAACAGUUGUGUAAGAGAGUUUAUGAGUUAGAGUUAAGGUGUAGAAGUGAUGACUAGUAAGAGUAGUUAAAGAAGAAGUUCUAUAAGUACUAGAAGAAUGAAUGUAAUGAAAGUAGUGAGAAAUCAUGAAUGAAAAGCAGAGUUAAGCAAAUCGAUAUGCAAAAAAAGAGAGAGAAAAGAAAACAUACGAGUAAAGUUCAACACGGUGUCGGCAUCGUCAUCGGCGCCGCUAACGGCGACGUUCCCACUCUCGUCGCCAAUCCUAACGCCGAUACUCAAUGGAUCAACUCCGAUGUCCUCUCAACACUGUCGGGAACGAGCUCCGUCUAAUCACC